UGGGGAAUUUUGGACAAUGGGCGAAAGCCUGAUCCAGCAAUGCCGCGUGUGUGAAGAAGGCCUUCGGGGUUGUAAAGCACUUUUGUCCGGAAAGAAAUCCUUGGACUCUAAUACAGUCGGGGGAUGACGGUACCGGAAGAAUAAGCACCGGCUAACUACGUGCCAGCAGCCGCGGUAAUACGUAGGGUGCAAGCGUUAAUCGGAAUUACUGGGCGUAAAGCGUGCGCAGGCGGUUUGCUAAGACCGAUGUGAAAUCCCCGGGCUCAACCUGGGAACUGCAUUGGUGACUGGCAGGCUAGAGUAUGGCAGAGGGGGGUAGAAUUCCACGUGUAGCAGUGAAAAUGCGUAGAGAUGUGGAGGAAUACCGAUGGCGAAAGGCAGCCCCCUGGGCCAAAUACUGACGCUCAUGCACGAAAAGCGUGGGGGAGCAAAAC
rnacentral:rRNA from 1 species